rnacentral:rRNA from 1 species
AUUGAACGCUAGCGGGAUGCCUUACACAUGCAAGUCGAACGGCAGCACGGACUUCGGUCUGGUGGCGAGUGGCGAACGGGUGAGUAGCGUAUCGGAACGUGCCCAGUAGCGGGGGAUAACUACGCGAAAGCGUAGCUAAUACCGCAUACGCCCUAAGGGGGAAAGCGGGGGAUCGCAAGACCUAGCCCUUUUGGAGCGGCCGAUAUCGGAUUAGCUAGUUGGUGGGGUAAAGGCCUACCAAGGCGACGAUCCGUAGCUGGUUUGAGAGGCCGGCCAGCCACACUGGGACUGAGACACGGCCCAGACUCCUACGGGAGGCAGCAGUGAGGAAUUUUGGACAAUGGGGGCAACCCUGAUCCAGCCAUUUCGCGUGUGCGAUGAAGGCCUUAGGGUUGUAAAGCACUUUUGGCAGGGAAGAAAGGGCUUAGGUUAAUAGCCUAGGUUGAUGACGGUACCUGCAGAAUAAGCACCGGCUAACUACGUGCCAGCAGCCGCGGUAACAC